UUGGACUUCUAUGCUCAUCAUGGAUUGUCCAUAACUAAUCCCAUGUUCAAGCGUAAGGGUGUCCAUAUGUGCUCUUGGCACCAGUACACCCUAGGCCGUGGUUCGAUGAUCAACUUUGUUGUCGUGUCAUCUAACCUGUGGCCGCAUGUCUUGGACACUGGUGAAGAGGGGAGCAGAGCUGCACUUUAUGUAAAUACUUCAUGAUAUUUCAUACUUCAGAGAUGUUUUCAGCUGCUAUAAGUGCUUAUAAUUUUUAUUUGUGUGUUUCUUUUGUCUUAGUCGAGUGUCUCAACAAGAAAUGUCAUGAUGGGUCCAUGACAAUAACAAUUCCUGAUUGAUUCUUGACUUUUGUUCUGGGUUUUCGUCAGCUGUAAGCCAUAAUCAUCAAAGUUAAAACAAACAGCUGAAAUAUAUCUCUCUGUUUGUAAUGAAUCUAUAAAUGAGUUUUAACAAGAACAACUGAAUUACUGAAAUAAAUUAACCUUUCGAAAAUCUAAAAAUGUUUUUAAGUGAACCUGUACGUAAAAGCAAGUUAUUUCUCCAUUCAGGCAACCAUGUUUGUGAGUUUGAUUUAAGGGUGUGGUUUGUUCUCUGAGUGCCUCUCUGAGUAGUUGUAGUUUGUUAGAGGAGGGAUGGGAUUGUGUGAAGAGUCUUUGUUUCCAGACUUCUGCUCAGAUGAGAAGUCCGUUUCACCGGCUGUGCAGAAGAUUAAAGGGAAGCAUACGGCACGGCUCAGCUUGUCUCUGACAUGGGAGGGGUUCGGUUCUGACGUCUUCAGAUUGACCAGGACAAAUAUAUGAAGAAGCGAGAAGACGACACUAACAGCACCUCCCACUCUCCUCCACCAGGGAGCAGCAGUGUGGAGGGCUAUCAUGACUGCCUCAAAGCGGGUUUUAAAAUGUACCCCAGGAAUGGCCAUGCUAUGGAAAACAUCUCUCACAGACAGAGAGACCAGCUCUACAGCCGACAUGAUACAACAUACAAGAUUUCCUCUGCUCCAGAUCUGAUUUCUAAAACGGAAAAAGAACAAACAUUCAGCAUGAGAGAUAACACAUUUCAUAGAAACUCUACACUGAUCUUGAACUCAAGCAGCCAAGUCUAUUCAGGGCCAGAGGACAACACCACUGAGCCACAUGAGUCCCUGACAGAGUCUUCCACUAUCACCUUUAUGGACAGCUACAAUCUGGAUGAGUCAGUGGAGAACCACACUCUGCAGGGAGUGGGGAUGAUUUACCUCAAGGAGUUUGUGUUGAUAGAUGAUGAUGAAGAUGGGGACAUGUCACUGAGAGAGAAAACAGUGACGGACUUCUCAGUCAGGGAUGGGAAAGCUGCCGACCUGGUGUGUGGGAGGCUCCUGUCCACAUCCACUGACUCGUUGUCCGAGUGCAAGGAUGAAUCUUCAGUUCGUGGUCCCCCUCCACCUGAGGCAGCCGAGGCAGUACACAAAAAGAAUCCCUGCUGUUUAUGCACAUUACUAUGACUGUUCAGGAGGUUCUGAAACCUAAGUUAGGUUUUUAAACUUCUUAAACCCAACCCCAGUACUGGGGGAAGAAUUUAACCUUUUUUCUACUUUCACUACUGUAAGUUCUUUUAGUUAAAUAUAAACGUGUAGUAUGCACAGAGAAAGCUAAAAGCUGAAAUAAACUAUUUCUACAAACUCCAAAAACAGUUAAAACCACAACAGUUGAAUCAAAGAGUAAAAAAACUCUACAAAAAGGCAUCACUGCAAAACUUGGUCUCAGCUGGUCCACCAUUAUGUCUGCUGAAAGCAGUGAUCUAACAGAUUCCAAAAAUGUAUGUUCCAUCACAAUCCAGUAUUCAGUCAACCAGCAGCAAAGGAAAACCAGAGUUGGCACUCGCAUUUGAAAAACAUAAUUUUUAACAUAAUUAUUAUUUAGAGUUUGUAAUUUCUGAGAAAACCUGAAAUAAAUUUGGGUACAUUCCAACUAGGGAUUUGCCAAUAUGAAAAUUUGGUCAGAUAUUCAAUAUUAAUAUUCCCGUAAUGGCUGUGACUGAUAUUGUAUAUAUUAUAAAUAUUUAAAAAAGGCAAAGACCCACUAAAAUGUGCUUCUUAUAGACCCUUCUCAUUAUUAAACUCUGAUUAUAAAUUGAUUUCUAAAGUGUUGGCCAGCAGGCUUAGUUUAGUGCUACCAAAGAUAAUUAACCCAGACCAGAAUGAUUUCAUUCAAAAACGCCUGCCGGCCAAUAACUAAAUAAUUUUUAAAUAUAAUCCAUUUAGCAAAAACCGGACCUGACCAUAGUGUAGCUAUGGUAUUAGAGGCCGAGAAAGCCUUCGACAGGUUGGAGGGGCCCUAUAUGGAUUUGGAUUUGUAGAAGUAUUUCUUAAUUGGGUAAAAACUCUAUAUUAUAAACCCAAGGCAAGGAUAUCUACUAAAGGGCAAAUCUCGUCACUGUUCUCCCUAAGUAGAACUAGUAGACAAGUCUUUCCGCUAUUCACAAGUCUGUUUGCCUUAGCCAUUAAACUCUUGGCAGAGGCAAUCAGAAGAGACCAUGACAUUAAGGGCUUUAAGGUUGGUCAGACAAUCCAUAAAAUUAAUGUAUUUGCUGAUGAUGUUCUGUUUUAUCCAAAGGGCCCUUUACAUCCUCUGACUCGAUUAAGGGACCAUUGGACACUUAUGGUACUGUUUCAGGAUAUAGAAUUAAUUAUGAUAAAAGUAAAAUUGUUCCAUUAGUAACAUUUAAUAUUUCUGUUUAUCAAAGUGCAUCUGCGUUCAAAUGGGCUCCAACUGGAUAAAAUAUCUUGGAAUAGUUAUUGACAGGAAUUUGGGAAAUCUUUAUAAUUUAAAUUAUAACUCGCUCCUAAAAGAAAUUGAGAAAGACUUACAUAGAUGGAUUAACCUCCCCAUCACUUUGAUCGGGAGGAUUAACUGUAUUAAAAAGAAUGUUUUGCCAUAUUUUGUCAAAAAAGACGGAUAAUGCAAUUUUAUUACAUUUAAAUAAGCUUUGGUAUGAUGUACGUAAAACCAUUGUAAGGACAUUGGACUGUCACCAAAGUCACAUUUAAAGCAAAAUGAGCUGAUUCCUAUGACAGUAAAUAAUAAAAUCCUGGAUAUAUGACACCAUAAUGGAAUUCCUACAUUGGAGGACUGUUAUGAGAAUUGACUCUUUGUGACCUUUGAACAAUUAAGAGGGAAAUAUGAUUUGUCAAAUGUUUGCUAAAUUUGCUAAAUGUUUUCGAUGUACCAUAGAUGUGGGCUCUUUCCUACAUUGUACUUGGUUAUGUAUCAAGGAAAGAAACUUUUGUAUUGACCUCUGUGAUAUUUUGACUAAGAUUACUCAAGUAUUAUUACCUGUUCAUCCAGAAUUUUGCUUGCUUGGGAAUUUUAUGAAAAUUGAGAAACGUUUAAACCAAAUUUAAGAUAAAAGUUUUUGGAAUUGCCGUGACAUUGACCAGAAAAUGGAUUGCUAUCACAUUGAAAUCUGAUUUCCCUCUAUUAAUACCUACAUGGUAUUUAGAGAUGAACUACUCUGUACCCUUAGAACAAAUAACAUAUAACUGUAGAAAGAGAUACAACACCUUUAUUAAAAUCUGGCAGAUCCUACCUACAUUAUGUGGAUAAAGUUAAUUGAAAUGUGAUUGACUUCCAAUUAAUGUAUAUUUGUUUCAGGUUAGUGGAGCAUCCUUUUGGGGGUGGGCAGUUGGGGGUUGAUUAUUUGAAUUUCAUUUGAUUAUGUCUGUAUACGAUUGGAAAACUUAAAGUAUUCUAAAAAUAUAUAUAUAUUUCCCCACCCUUUGAACAUCAUGAUGAAAAUAACCAAAUUGCUGAUAUUGCUUCUCUCCUUCAGUUGAACACCCCACAAUCUUAUCACUAUCUCUGCCACAUGCCCAAACAACUACCUCCAACUCCUGAACCACAUACACAAACGGCAACAAGAUGAAAGGAAACUGGUUAUUAAUAUUGGCCCAUUUUGUACUUAUUGGACUACUACUGUUAUGUUAAAAAUUGACUAACAUUGACCAAUACCAAUUUUAUUGCGGAUAUUUUUUGCAUCCCUAAUUACAACCACAAACUUCAAGGUAUCUGAUUGGUAUUUAUAUGACUGAUGAACAUGAAGUAGUUGUUAGGUGAAAGUGCAAUGAUACAUGUGUGGCGUGCUUUUGUAUUUAGCCAUCUGAGCCCAUCCUUGGUAGAACCACCUUUCAUUGCUUAAGUUCAGUCAGAUAGGAUGGAGAGUCUCUCUGAACAUCAGUUUUCAACUCUUGCUACAGAAUCUCAAAGGAUUUAGGUCUGGACUUUGACUAGACCAUUCAAACACAGGAAUACAUAUAUUUGGAUUUAAACCGUUCCAUUGUAGCCCUGGCAGUAUUUUUUGUGUUGUUGCCACCGCCAUCAUUCGGAGUGGUAUGUUUGUUGGGUGUUAAUCAAAUUUGUCAUAUUAUUAUGAGUAAACAAAUUCUGACUAUGGUGUACUUUUUAUCUGUCUUAUCCCUGAAAGUUUUUUGCACUGAAAUCUAGGUUACAGAUUCCCAGACUGUUAAAUCAUGCUGCAUCCAGAGAUGGUUUAGUUUGAUUUCUGUUCACAGUAUCUAAGUUUAGAUGGUCAGACUUGAGGUAAGCAAAUACUUCUCUAAAGUUUGUUGCAAUUUCUAAACCAAAUGCCUGUAAGACCUGAUCAGAGUGACAGAUUUUCUGGAAACUACACAGAAAGUCAUAAACAAAUGGGUGCUGACCUAAAAUAAAUAAAUCUUUGAAAGAUG